UCCUCGAUAGCUCAGUUGGUAGAGCGUCGGACUGUUAAUCCGUAGGUCCCUGGUUCGAGCCCAGGUCGGGGAGCCA
rnacentral:tRNA from 8 species